rnacentral:lncRNA from 1 species
CUGGGAAACGGUACUGUCACCCACUCCUUUUUAGUUAUUCCAGAGUGUCCAUACCCACUCCUAGGACGUGAUUUACUCCACAAACUUCAAGCAAAUAUUUCUUUUUGCAAGAGUCAGUCUUGCCUCUCAAUUCCUCCUCCCUUGACAUCAGGGUUACCUCAGAAAAUCCUCAUCACCUGUGCUCUAUCAGAUGAGUAUCUCUUGCAGGAAGCUUUAAACUCAAAGGCAAAUCAACCGCCAACAUCGGACCUCCUCCGCCAGUUUCAAGAAAAGGUACCUGGAAUGUGGGCUGAGACAAAUCCCCCAGGCUUGGCAAGUCACUGUACCCCGGUCAUGGUCCAGCUAUUGGCAACGGCAACUCCAGUCCAGCGAGCCAGAGGAGCCCAUACAUGACUGCCAAUAGACAAUCAAUGUCCUCCAUGCUGCACAACCAGAUCUCACCGACGUCCCCCUGCAGAACCCGGAAGAGGCAUUCGUCACCACUGGGGUCCUGGCCUGUACUUGCCUCAUCCCUGAGAGGAAUGCUACACAGAGAGGCCAAGAAGAAUCAAAACAGACAAGCCUUGCUGGGCUCCCUCUUCAGUCUGUUACCAUUAGAUUAUACCCUUUUGUCUGAUCACAUUUCUACAUGAAUGUUUAUUCUUAAG